rnacentral:rRNA from 2 species
UUUUUAUGGAGAGUUUGAUCCUGGCUCAGGAUGAACGCUGGCGGCGUGCCUAAUACAUGCAAGUCGAGCGAACAGACGAGGAGCUUGCUCCUCUGACGUUAGCGGCGGACGGGUGAGUAACACGUGGAUAACCUACCUAUAAGACUGGGAUAACUUCGGGAAACCGGAGCUAAUACCGGAUAAUAUAUUGAACCGCAUGGUUCAAUAGUGAAAGACGGUUUUGCUGUCACUUAUAGAUGGAUCCGCGCCGCAUUAGCUAGUUGGUAAGGUAACGGCUUACCAAGGCAACGAUGCGUAGCCGACCUGAGAGGGUGAUCGGCCACACUGGAACUGAGA